GACUACAGCCCUCCACCUUCACUGUUGUUGCUCCACUUGCAGGUGACGGCAAGACAAGCAAAAUAGGACGUCAAAGGUGGACGUCAAAGAAGGGAAAAGCUUAACGGCCAAGAAGAAACUUAUCCCCGAGCUCGAUCACACGACCGUCGCGACGCUCUCAUUAAUACUAACUCCAAGAUUAUUCAUACUCUUCAAGUUACCAACUUCCACGUACCUCGCGUAUGCACUCACGGCCGUGCUGCUGCUGUGCCGUACAACGCCAACCGCAGCAAUAAGGCACGCAGAAAGCCCACCUGUUGGAGACAGAGCAAUGAGCUGUGCUUAACCAACACUGCCUCAGCGCACGCUUACCGUACGGCACGCCUACCUUGCAAUGGCCGCGCAGGAACCUCGGGACACAGUUACGGGGCUCAGAGGGGACUGGGGGCCCGCAGAACUCGGCGCCAGAGGAGGACCAGAUGUUAAAUAAUGCCACCCAGCUAAUGCUGGGGGCGGGGGCCGCGCAGCGGGUAAGGAGCCGAGCGCCUGGACCAGCGAUGGCGGAGCUGUGACGGCGCCGAUGCGGGGCCUGGCACGGUGGUGUGGUGCCAGGCCAGCUAUGCCGCAGGCGGAUCCACCUCCAUGGGCUCCACGGUGGUGCUCACGCUGCUGGUCCAGGUGCGAUGGAAACGCACUCUCCUGCCCCUCCUCCGCUUGAUGGUCAUGGCGGGCCCCCUCCUCCUCUUCGCUUCUGGGGCCCCCAGCUCCCUCUUCCCACCUACAAUAGGGCAAUCGUCCCCUCUCGCUCUCUUCGUGCCUGACAUGGCUCUCAACCGCCAGAGCACUCCGAGGCGAGUGCGUUGCGUGGGGCAGCGGUGACCAAGGUGACAGCUGGGACAUGGCGAAGGUUCUAAAAUGGCAGCCGCACUGCUGGCAGUGGCCUUCCACGGAGGAGGAGGAGGGGGCUGCAGGACAGGGCACGGGACGCCAGGUAGAAGGCGCUCCCUGUGCCCAGCGGGCAGCCCUUCUCUCCGGCCAGCAAGAGGGCACACAGGAGCCGGCCCCGACAAAAGGGCCCUCAGCCUCCUUCACCCUCGCCCUCCUUCCACAAGGGAAUCCCCUUCUCAGCCUGGGACACGCAGCACACAGCCGCUCGCUGUGAUGGCAUCUCCUGAGGCCAGUGCAAACAACAGCAGGCUCCAAAGCGCACCUGACUACGCCUGCCUCCUGCGAGACAGAAGCCAUGGCUUCCAUUUCAGCAUCCAGUGCCUCUUCCCAUGUGCGGUCCCAUGCUGGGAUUCCAACAUUACCUACAAUAAAUACGUCCAACUGAGUGUUGAACAACAGUUUCAGAGUCUCUGAGGAAAUACGUUAUAGGGAACAAGCUUCCUCAACGAGGCUGCUUGCGACUCGCCUCGCUUAUAAAGCCCUUGCAUUCAACAAUCCCAUUCCCAAAAUAACAUACCUACUAUUUGCUAGAGCAUCUCAGACAGCCUGGGGGGCAAAGUCGUGGUAGGUAAGUAUUGCAGGACACCACUUCCAGAGGACACCCGGGGACUUGGAAGGAUGUCAGUCACUGCAGGCCUGUGGACUACGGCAGCGUCCUUGCCCUACUGCUCAUGCUCGGCGACAGCAAGAGAGCAUCUCCUCCUGCCACGAAGCAGGCAGCUGGCAGCGGGGAGCAGAGAGGCAGCAGCUGGGGCACAGAGCUGUCAGCAGAACAUGAAGAACAUGCACGCUAAGCGAGGUGCGUGCGGGUCAGACCCCGAGCCCAGGAAUGCUUCAGCUGCACUCAGGGGACAGGCAUGCGCUGGCGUUGCGGCUCCAUGCCGAGGGCCAGAGCUGCUGCAGGGCCAGCGCUGGGCCUGGGGGCUACAUCAGCCCGGGCAGCUUCUGCCAGCUCCCAGAGAGCUUCUCCCCUCUGCACUUUCUCUGGGCAGGGGACCAGGGAAAACCAGGGCAACAGGCACAGACCUGAUGCGGGCCACAGGCUGCCGUGCCUGCCGAGAGCAUCAGGGGUGCUACGGCCAUACGCAGGAAGCUUGAUCCUUGUGGGAAGACACUGCUAGGACAGCACCCGCUUGUCCUUCUUGCCAACCGUGGCUGCGUCCGUGCCCACUCAUCGGGGCUGUCCUCCCGGUGCCAAGCCAGCAGAGCACAGCCCGCAGUGGCUGUGGGGGCCAAGAUAUUCAUUGGGAGCUGCCUGCCACAGCAUCCAGCUCAGCUCCUACAAGCACCACUCGCUCGCACCGCACCGCACCGCACCGCACGCCUCGCCUCUGCGUGCGUGCCGGCAGCACCACGAGCUCCUCCCCCGAGAGCCCCUCCAUGCCCCCGCCCCGAGCCCCGAGCCCCGACCCCGUGCCCAGGACACAGCCCGCUCCUCCCGGCCCCGCUCACCGGCCUCGCGCCGCCAUGCCGCGCUGCCCCGGAACUGCUCUCCGCCGCCGCCAAGCACUUCCUGCCCCGGCCCUAGCAACCGCCUGCGGCGUCACGUUGCUAAGGGCGGCCUGGGGGCGGCCCGGGGCCUGUGGGGGGGGC
rnacentral:lncRNA from 1 species